UUGGGGAUUGCGGGACCUCCUGAAGAGAUACGGUUCUCAUUUCCAGUAGUCGUGCGCAUCUGUGCGUAUCUGCGACAGCGACGAGUCCUGCCAGCUUUCGCGGCGAACAGCAACGCAUGGCGAGGUCGAGGCUCCGAAUGCAAGCAACGUGGCGCUAGAAACUGGACGAGGAUCGAACGCUGAUCGCUAACGGUGGGUGACCAUGUGACGCUCAACACUAACGGGGCAAUC
rnacentral:lncRNA from 1 species